GACGAAAUGGCGAGUCUAGUCGUGGGGUUGCCAUGGCUUCGGAUUUGGGUGUUUCCCGAGCUCCAUCCUCCCUUCUCCCGUCCAGGGCUACCUCUCGAUUCACCGGAGAAAUCUCUCCGUCUCGGCUUCCUCCGCCACUGGUCUCCAGGAGGGCGAGGUGCGCGUCCGUUUCGCUCCGUCGCUGACCGGGAAUCUGCACGUCGGAGGCGCGAGGACGGCGCUAUUCAACUACCUGUUUGCCAGGUGGAUGAACGGUCAACAUUUAAGAUCUCUUCCUUCAUAAGGGUUGAUCAAGAUUUUUGGGGAUAGAUAGAAGUCCACAGACAUUCUCCUACAAUCUGAUAGUGAAUUUGUAAAGGAUGCGACUGAACUAUUGAAGGAUGGAAUUGAUUUGGUAACAUACAGACAAGGCUCUAGUGAAUUUGUUGUCUUAUCCUCUGCACUCUACUCUAGCCAGUGCUGAAUGUAAACCUGUUCUACAAGAUAAGCUCUCAGAGGUGUUUGCCAGCUAGAUAUCUUCUUAUGAUUGUGGAGAGCUCCGUGAAGCACCGAAGGAAAGGUCAUGCAGGCUGGCAAAAAUGGGUGAAAUGCUUCGGCAAGCUCCUGAAGCGCAAGGUCAGAUUCAACUGAUGCAUGGAGUUGAUUAUCUUCUCGACAAC